rnacentral:rRNA from 1 species
CCUACGGGAGGCAGCAGUGAGGAAUAUUGGUCAAUGGGCGCGAGCCUGAACCAGCCAAGUAGCGUGAAGGAUGACUGCCCUACGGGUUGUAAACUUCUUUUAUAAAGGAAUAAAGUGAGGCACGCGUCCCUUUUUGUAUGUACCUGAUUAAUAAGCAUCGGCUAACUCCGUGCCAGCAGCCGCGGUAAUACGGAGGAUGCGAGCGUUAUCCGGAUUUAUUGGGUUUAAAGGGAGCGUAGAGGGGUUGUUAAGUCAGGUGUGAAAGUCCGCGGCUCAACCGUGAAAUUGCAAUUGAUACUGGCAGUCUUGAGUACAGUUGAGGUAGGCGGAAUUCGUGGUGUAGCGGUGAAAUGCUUAGAUAUCACGAAGAACUCCGAUUGCGAAGGCAGCUUACUAGACUGCCACUGACGUUGAGGCACGAAAGCGUGGGUAUCAAACAGGAGUAGAUACCCUAGUAGUC